GAUUGGUCCAAGUGCAGUGGUAUUUACAACUAAUUGAUCACAACAGUUAUAAAUUCCUUUGUUCCUUCUCCAGUCCCACCUGCUUCACUUGACCAGCUUUUA
rnacentral:Y_RNA from 1 species